CCUCUCCGGGUAUCAACAUCUAUUUUUUUUUUUUUAAAUAAUUUUUACUAUAAUUUACUCUUAACUUCCUUCUAAAGAUGUCUAUAUUAUUUAUUUUUCCAAUCUACCUUAUUUUGCCUUAUUUUUGGCCCUACAAAGUAAGUAGAAGCUAUUUUUUCUAAAAAGGCAACAUUACUACUGAAAGUUUUAUUACUUUCCUAUCUUUUAUCCAUAUUUUUCUACCUUUUCUUUUAACUUGGCUCUUCUAU
rnacentral:lncRNA from 1 species